CCAUCUUCUGAAUCUCCUAAAGAAGAGACUGAAAAACUAAACCCCUCCAUCUUUUUUAUCUUGUCCACAAAACCCAAGCUCUCCAACAAACCCAGAGACAAUGACAACAGUUUGUUUCUCAUCAAACAAACACCUUACAACAUGUCGAUCUGAAUCGGUUCAAGUUGUUCUUUGUGAUUUCAGUAAUAUGCAUGGUCUUACCAAGGUGGAAGCAGCUAAAAUCUCUUACUUGGUGUGUGAGUGUUUUUAAUUAGAAGAGAUUUUAUGCGCUUAAGGAGGCGUUGAAUUGUUUUGCAAUAAGGUUAUUGCUGGGAGCACAAGCGUAGAGCUACUGUUCACAAGCGCGACAAUGUUAUUUCUCGGUGUGGUCGAAUUGUACUUCUGUUCAGUCAGAAUUUUGUGAAGAUCUUAAUACAACUUCAGUUCAUAGUGUAUUUUUUACUUUCUUUUUGUUGGUGUCUUGGGUUUUUGGAUGGAUCAUUUUGUAUUGAGUAGUGAAUAUGAAUGGUUUCAUAUUUUUAAUAAAAUUACAAGUUGAUGCGA